UUAGCUUAUGGUCAAUUCGAAUGAGCUCGUACUAUAAUGUCUCCUAGUCUAUAUAUCAUAGAUCAGGUCCCCUCUGAUACCAUUUGUAAUAAUUAGAAUAUCACUAAAAAAUACUAGUCGAAAGGCAUUACUUUGAUUUCUUAGUUCUGUAUAAGUACUAAAGAUCUCUCUAGCAAAUAAUCAAUUGGGACUAAAUACACAUCCGCACGAUAACACAUCCCGAUAAACAAAAAAAGUCUGUCAUUUUUCUACCACAAGAUGCUGUUAAUCAAACUUGAUCAAGUUCAUAGAUAAGAUCUAGACCUAGAAAAUGACCCAAGCCAGCUUAAAGCCCAUCUCGAUGAGCCAAUUUAGAAUCAAGCCUUGAUUCAAAUCCAAGUGUUUGGGUUGAGCUCCGGCCUAAAAAUAGGACCAAAUAUAUGUCAGGAUAAGCUAUAGCCCAUGCUUGGCCUACGUUAGCUAGGCACGGCCUGAAGCUUAAGCCCGACAAUGCACCCAAUCCAAGCUUGACCUCUUCAUUCUCUCUCCUUCUCCCCCACCCAAUUUCUCCUCUCUCUUCUCUCUCCCACUCAAUCUCUCUCUCCUCUCCGCUAGCUCUCCUUUCUCCUCUCUCUCCCCCUCCCAAGCUCUCUCCUCUUUCCUCUCUCUCCCACCCAAUCUCUCUCUCCUCUUUUCCUCUCCAUAAUCCCUUCUUAUCUCUCUCUCUCUCUCUCUCUUCUCUCUAUAUCCCUUCCGAUGGACAUGAUCUUUCUUCACUCUUUGUCUCUCAGUAAUAUCUACCCUCUCUCUCUCCUAAUCUCUCUCUUUCUUCUCCCCUCAUACUCUCUCUCUUUCUCUCUCUUAUUUUGCAUGGAGCUUACAAAAGAAGUUCAAGUCUAGAUCCAAACUAAUCCAACUAGGCUCGGCCGAGCUCAUAUUUAGACCCGAGCUAAACUUUUGAUAAGAAAAAAAAAAUUGAAUUUUAUCCUAGCCCAAAGUCUAAAAUUUUUCAUGAGCUACAUUUUUU
rnacentral:lncRNA from 1 species